UGUAGUCUUCUGGUAUAGCCCACAGGCUGAGGUGUCUGUGCGGCCAUUUUGCACCAGGAACUGUGGUCUGACCUGGUGAGUGAGGCGUCUGCCUACGACCCCCUGUGAACAAGUAACAGCAGACUGAGCACAAAGGAAAAAAACAAAGUACAUCUGGUUCACAAAUUGGAAGAGAAACAGGAAAAUGGACUCUCAGCCUCACAAAGAAUGCUUCAUUAUUCCAGAACCUCUUGUGUUUGUCCUGUCCAGGAGAAAGCAUUUGACAAGUAACUCAAGAAGAAAACCUGACCAUCAAGCCCGAGGUAGCAGGAAGAACUCCAAUCACACAGAAUGUUGCUAGCCAGCCUAUGGACUGCAUACCCCCAAAUCUGGUGUCG